CGCAACAGUCUGGGCUCGAAAAUUUACUGUGUGGCAACUUUUCCUUUUGGCAACUCUGGCCUAGUUGGAAGAAACCGGCAGUGAGACAGCAGCUGCGGUGUAGGGAGUAAGGCUAACGCAGGAGGGAGGAAGGUAAAGAGAAAAAAAAAUGAUCUCAUUGCUUCGGACGGUGUGGCCUCGGACGGAAUGGCCGAGGAAGAGGUGGAUGAAUAGGCGAAGGACAGCCGCUGCGUUGUUCGACAGACGCACAGACCAGCCGGGAGAAGAAUGGAGUGCAGAAAGACGGAGGAAUGUUGUCUCGCUCCCUGGUGAACCUCUGGGCCACACAGACGUCAUCACUCACGUUGUUCAUCUGACGCCUUGGUCCAGAUCAUCUUAUACCCCCAGCUACAGGGGGCCACACAGCCAUCGUGUUCUGCUUGAUGAAGCUGUGCGAGUUUAGAGGAGAAGGAGGAGGAAGAGAAGACGAAGAAGGAGGAUGCCCAAAUAUUAUGUUUAUUAAUAUUGUUAUUAUUGCUCCUGUCACCACCACCACAGCCGCCUUCACAACAUUACGUAAAAUAAGAACAAAAACCCUCCCUCUCCAACCAAUCGUCACACCAUGACCGUAUGGUUCAAUUUUUAAAACGUGGUGUUUGCAUUUACUAAUACUAAUAUAGCCGUUUUGGAUUUUUUAAAAUCUGUUCCAGUUCCGCGCUUCGGGUUAGGUCGACCGAACUCAAAGAAAUCGCAUUGGAAAUGUUGGCGUGAAGUAUCCCCCACCAACAGCAAACCCCAAUGAUAUCUACUAAUCCUAUGCGACUAAAAAGUUAUGUUGAAAAUAUUAAAAUGUACUAAAUUGUUACUUUGCGAAAAAAAUAAAUAAAUAAAUAAAUAAAAAAUUAUACAU